AAGUCCUUUCUUUAAGAUGACUUCUCACUGAAGCACUUUUUGUGCCUUUACUGCAGAUAUGUUCUGUGUAAUUCUGUCUUAAGAACUCUAAGAUCCUUUAAAUUCAGACCUAUAGGACAACUGAACAGAUUUUAUUAAAUAUUUAAUUUUCAGAGAUUUGGUAAGAGUCUAUUUUCAAAGUCUUUUAAUUUUUAUUUAGUAGAAGGUGUUGUUGACUUUGAAUAAAUUCUAAAUUUAAUAACAUAUUUAUUUUUACUUGGGAAUAGAAAAAGGAAAGGAAGAAGGACUUAUGGCAUUGGAAACAGCUGUAGCUCAGCUCAUGGAAUAAUUGAUUUAAAAAUGUAUAUACCCUCAAUAUACCCUUAAAAUAACACCCUUAAAAUUAAAUGCUUUCGGCGACUGAAUGUAUUUCGCAUUUGUGAACACUGAGUGAUGCAUACUGAGCACUAAUUUGGAAAGUCAGUUGUUUUUGUAAGUCUAAGUAAUCAAACAAGAAAUUAUAAAAAAAUCUUCUCAAAUUAAUUGUUAGAUGUGUGCAUCCAGGUAAAUUCAAGUCUUUCAUGUUAAGUUAGCACUAUGACUGCACAGUUCCAUUCAUGCAUCAUUUUUCUCUGCACUGUUUUGUCUAUUUCUAGAUGACACAAACAGUAGAAGACAACAGUUUAAAAUUCACUUCCUCCCUUAACUUUAUUUCUUAUGCAUUUUGCCCUGAGAAUUAGGUUAGCUGACAUCUGGUUUGGAUUUAGUUUGUUGAAGUAGUUACAUUCUGAACCCCAAAAUAUCUGUCAUCAGUUAGCAAACAUAGUUUCCGCUUGACUUUCAGGAAAUGUUUCUUGUGAGAGGGCUGUCACAGCUUUUGUUAUAUGGCUUGAAAAAGUGUUUAUACCCCUCUAUGGCUUUAUAAAGCACCAAGAUCAUUUAAAUAAUCGUACAGUCAUUUAGUUAACUUGCUCUUUUUUAAACUUGCCUAACUAUGGUGAAUGUAGUUUUGAUGGCAAAAGAACCUCUUUUAUGUAACAGCAUUUUUCUUCUCCCUUCUCCAUCCCCACCUCACAAAAUAAAUGCAACACAAUUAUUGUACUGCUGAGAAAUUAGCUCAUUUGCAAAUGCCACCUUGGAACACAAGAAGAAAGGCAUUUAUUGAAGCACUAAUAAAAGCACCAUGUUAGAAUAAUUUUAUGCUGACGGGCCUACAAUUGCUCAAUAUUUUAAGAGCUGUCAUCACACCAGCAUGAGCUGCAUGCGAAAGUACAAAUUUACGCUGUGACAUCAUGGCACUAAAAGUGUAAUUGGAAUAAAAUUACAAUGCUUCACUCUAACAUUCGGCAGCAAGACAGAGCACUUCAGAUGCCCACCCCAGUCUGAUCCUUUGCUACGCAUCACUGUGCCAUGUAUUCUGUUAACACAUGAAGUAUUAUGACACAGAUUUCUGAAGAGUUCAAUGUGUCCUUCAGGUAUUUCCAGAGUGAGCUUUCAGUGUGUAUUCCAUGACCUGUGUUGUUAAUACACAGUACACUGCACACCAGCAGAAAGCUCAUAGAAUAUUAAAUCAGCAAAAGCCACCAUUUUAAAUCUUUAGAUAUGGAUAAUUAAGCAAGCAGUCACUACACAAUGUGUGAGGACCUAAUACUAUAAUUUUUUAGUGAGUUAAUAAAUUCCAGUCAUGGUCUGUGGUUAAAUGCUAAGCUUCAAAAAAUGAGCACAUCUGCAUAAGAACUGUAAGUGUAAAAUUCAACCUUUUGACUUCUACCACAUCUCCAUUCCUUGUUGUAACUAGGAAAAAAAGGAAAAAAAAGAUCUGACAAUAGAUGUAGGUGAGAUAUAGGAGAUGCAAUGAAUUACAUGUCAUGUUUAGAUAUAAUAUUCUGCUUGUAAUCUAGUAUAUCCCACCUAAGAUACAAGCUCUUUCAGCAUAAUCAGACAUGCUUUUCACCACAGUGCAAGCAGAGGUGCCGAUUCUGAUUUUUCUUGGAUUGCUUUACACCACAGACUUCUACCAGAGUCAAUGAGACAAGAACAGCAUCUGUGUAAUUAAACCUACUUAACCAGAUCCUGAGUUUAUUAAAAUGAGUUUAUGGAAAGAAGUAACUCUCUCAAAGGCCAUUCACUUGUGCUGCUGUAAAACUAAUGCAAGGGAAAUUAAGGUAGGGCUAGUCCGAGGGAGCUAGUGACCUUCAGAAAUAUGAAAACCGUGGGAUGCAAUUUUUCAACAGCAAUUUAGAUGGGAUUACUCUGGCUGCAGUCAUGGUUAUUGGUGAAAGAAGUUUCCCAUACCACUUUAUAUAUCUUGUUUAAUAUACCUAAUUUUGUUUUUAAUAGGUUUGAAAUGAGGUUGUCUCUCUUGUUAAUUCUCUCAUUAAUGAAAAAUAGAUUUAUUGCUGAACUUAAAAUUGGAAUGAAAGAAUCUUGCUAAGGGGCUGGUAGUACUGGGGUCUCCUAAACUGAAGGUGUGCUGGUAAGGCUGCUCACUACAGGGUGAUACUCAGGCAAGGCUUGGCCAAACUGUUGGCCCAGGCAGGUAUCUGCAUUUCACCUGUCCAAAAUCUGCCCUGGCUCCCAGCUCUGGUGACUGAUCUAAAAGGUACCUCAGCUACCAUGGUUCUUGGAAUGGGACCACAGUGCUGGGAACUUCUCUGCCUGUGGAGGGAGCAAGAAGGGAAGAGGGUUGUCCCCACUUUUCUAGCACAUCUCACAUCACCACUAAAAAUUCUUCCUCUUUUUUAUAUUUAGACCACCACAGCUAUAACAAGUCUUUUUACUAAUAUUAAAUGCUACACUUUUUUAUUUAAAUCGGACACAAGCCAUGUCUGUGAAUUUGUGGCAUUUAGUGUGCCCACUCACCAAGAAAAUUGCCAAAUGAUUAUUUUUCUAAUCAGAUUAGUUAUAGCCAAUUCAAGAUCCAUGAAAAUUCAGCUAUUUAUUUAUUUGUGAUUCAAACUGGACCAAAUAUAAUAAAAUGAGAAAUUUAAUCACCCAGUAGGAAUGUUUUAUUUAAUCUGAAAUAAAUCAAGGCAUUGUAUUUCUGCAAUUUUCACACUUCUUAAGAAUAAAUCUAAGCUGACUUUGAAAAAUGUUUUCAUAGUUAAGAAAUGGAAAUAUUUUGCUUAGAAAAUAUAAUAAUGGUGAUCUAACCCACAGUAUUUUCUUCAUUUUUUCUCUUUUUUUCUUUUUUCUGAAGUUAUUUAAACUCAAACCAAAAUUCAAUAUAAAUUCCUUUUGUCUAAAAGAUCAAUUCAAAUUACAGCUAAUUUCUCCUACAGAAAUAAACAUAACUGGAUAUAUGCAAAAGGGUAUAUCCAAGAAAACUGUUGGGUAUGGUGUGACCAGGAAGGGAAUGUGCAGAUCUCCCAGAAUGAAUUUUUUGCCUCACCAUCACCUCCUGCACCAUUGGGCAUGGGCAGACCUUGUACUUUCCCACUACCUUGGAAGGUAAAGCUCUCUUGGACUGACUCCUGAUCUCUAGGGUUCCUGAUCUUCUGAUCUGGAUCUCUAGAUCAAGUCUCUCUGCUUGUUCUAUAACAUCUGGCAGCUGCUGUGUAUCUUAUGAAGGGAGAGACAGUAAUGGUAGGAGUCACAUUCUCCCUGAUCCUCCUCCAAAGUGGUUUAUUGUAAUGUAUCCCAGAUGUGCAGAACAUCCCCAGACACAUCUGCUGCACAGCUGCAGCUGCUCCCAGCCCCUUUGUGCAGAGCUAUAAGUGAACCUCCAAACGGCACCAGGAAAGAAAGGGAGAGAUGAAGGAGGUCUGAUUCGUAGCAUUGGUUUCUACAAUUGAUUUUCCUGGAAAUGAUUUAAAGUAGGGAACCCCUUUGGAAACAAAAGGACUAGAGAUGCUUUUUUCUUUUUUUAAUGGGCUCAGCAUACAUGUGAUUCUCAAUAUCAUCUUCCUGGUUUUGGAUGACUUACUGCUCUCAAAAGAGUAUAUGUUAAAGUAUCUUCUUUAGACAAUAUGCAGUGGGGGCAGAAAGGGGAAACUCCCCAGACUUGAGACACAGGCAAACAUAAUGAGGUAGACUUUACAAUAACUCCUAUUUUACAUAUUUUUGCUUUAUUUUCUGCAUCUCAUUUCAAUCCAAAUACAUAUGUUCAUAAUUUUCAAAGUGCAUGUGCCUGGAUAUUUACUGUAGAAAUAAACGGGCUGAAUGAAAUCAAGGAUAUUUUCAAGACAAGGAAAAAGAUAAACACUGCAAAGGAGAGAAAAUUUUUGUUUCCUUUAGCCUAAAUCUUGAUCUCUCUGCCACUCUUUUGUCACCCAGGAAUUCUGUGGGGAUAAGUACGAGCUAAUACUCUUGUUCAAAAGUUUUGGGAGCCCUGUAGGUGGGACUUCAAACUUUGGUGAAAAUUCCUUCUAGAUGGAGUUGUCUCAAGGGACUGUUUUGUAGCUGUUUCUUCUGUACAAUUCCUAAAGACACUGUUCUGUCUCUUCCUGCAACACCAGUUCUUACAUAUAGGGGAUCUCAUAAUAAUAGCUUUGCAGCAAGAUCUUGCAGGCAUCCAAAAAUAAGAACAGUCAUUGUGAAACUGUAAAAUACUUUAUUCUUCUAAGCUGACUGAACUUCACUUUGGCUCUGUAUCUUUAUUAUUCAUGAAAGCAGUUGCAUUGCCACAAAAAAAAAAAAAAAAUCCCAUUGGAACAAAAUGUUUGCCUUUAUCUUGACUCUGUUGCCAGAAGGUUGUGAAUCUGAAGGUGGUAGCACUUCGGUCUUUUACAGAAGUGAAACAUCUAGUGGCCCUGAGGUCACACGUUUCAGGAGGGUUGUCUGUAGCAGCAAGAUUCUUGGAAAAGGCCCCUUAACUCUACUAACUGGAUGUCAGUCAGCACAAAAGGCCUGUGAUUUCUGUGAAUAAUAGACGCUAUAAGACUCAUGACACCUACAGUCCUGAAAUUUAGAUUUAUAAUUUCCAUUAACUUGAAAAUUGAAAUUAAAAUACUAGUUGAUUUACUUGAAAGUACAGUUGAUUCAGUAUACUUUUUUGCAAGUAACUUUGUAUACGUGUUUUUUACCAAAAAGAACACAAAUCUGCCCUUAUCUGCUCCACGUUGCAAUCUAUCAAUUAUAAAAGAUUACUUAUUUGAAAUCUGUCUAGAAUUGUGCCUGUAAGUGCUUUCUUCCCAUUUUUACUUCUGUAAGACCUCAAAUUUGAAGACCUCACCCCAGUCUGACCAGAGGAGAAGUACUGUUGGACCUGUUACUCAUCAACACAGAAGAACAAGGGAUAACAAGUGGUGGCCACCUGACCAGAAGGAGGAAGAGGAUGAGGCCUUCUGCAGGCAGCUCAAAGCAGCCUCAGAGUCACAGGCACAAACAGCCCAGGAGGUUCCUGGAAAGCGAUGACGACAACUUCCUGUCACAGAUAUGAGCUUGUGAAGUUAAAGAACUAGAUGAAGAGAUCAAGUCCUGCCAGUCAAAGAAGCACUGGACUGCAUGAGAAAGAGUUCUUUUUAGUUCUAAAAAAUACAUCAAGCAUUAACUUCUCUCUGUAGGAUCUCCUCUCUGUAAAGAAAAUAAGGAUGGAAAUCUGUGCUGGUAAACCUCAAGGACUGAAAUCCUGUCUAUGGCACCUAAGUCAAGAAAGGCUUAAAAUGCUGGAAUGCCUUCAUAGAAAUAUAAAAAAAAUGUAAUUUACUUCCUGAACAUAAUCUUGCAGGAAAAAAAGAAAGAAAACAGCUACAGUGUAAUUUUUACUUCAAUUAACUUCAUGGAUCCAAUUCAGCAAUUGUAUUACACUGCUUGUGAAAUCUAUUGACCCAGUGGGAGAGCUCUGUGCAACAUAUGCCACAAGACAAAUCUUUUGGCUCACAGGUGUGAUGAGUACUAGAAUGCUGGCCAGCCUAGAAUGCAGUCUUUUUUUUGAGAGGCUGACCUGUGAGAACAGAGGGAAGCAAUUUUUAAGAGGCAGAAUACUUUUUCUUAUAAACUGUGAGAACUUUGGCUGGGCUUGGGGUCAUCACUGUCUGCAAAUAUUUCUUUCCUUAUGUUAUGUGCACUAUAUAUCUUGACCUACUAACCAUGAAAACAGCUCCCAGCUUUCAGCUACAAGAUUUCCUACUUAUUAGUGAUUUGUCUCAUAGUCUGAGACAUAUUCUAGAGGCUAGUGUAUCUUCACUUUAUUUCGCUCAAUUUUCAGAUUUGUGAGUAUAAUUUUAUUCUCUUCAAAUUGUUUCCAUUUUAGAUUUUUUUUUCUUUUCUGAAUGCUGAUAUGCUCUAUUGCCUCUAAGCCAGGCUCUCUUUAAUUCGUUAUCCUUUUCCCUUUCGUUUUAAAUACACAGAUAAAAGAAAGUUACUUGGGCAUAUAGUGCAAUUAAUGCAUUUUUUGUAACUCUUGAGGAAAAAGAUGUUUGAUUCCCUGCCCCUGUUGCAUCCUCAAAGAUACCAUACUCACAUUCAUUGUGCUUUGAAUAUGCUUUCUUUAGUUAAGAGCACAAAACUGCUUCCUUUUUCAGUCUAAUAAAAAAAUCUGCUGUCUAUUUAAGUGGAUCUAGGAGUUCUUUUCCCCUCACUUUGUUUAUUUUGUCUUAUUUCAAGCAAAAUUAUAGUGAUAAUGGGUACAUCCCCAUUGGUUCUGUAGGGUAGGUUUAAACAGCAUAUGAAUACCUUAAGGGCUAUACAAAUUUCAGACAUAGAGGGUUUCUGGCCUGAUGAGCUUGUAGACAUAAUAUGCUGUUUCUGGUGCAACAGUGUUAUGGCUCACAGUUAAUCGAAGUCCACGUAUAUACUUAGUAAUAGAGACUGAAUUCAGUCAAAUGAUGCAAUGUCUGUUAUUAUUCUACUCUGGAUGAUAGUUUGCAGAUUUUUCCUUCUUUGAGAGACACUUCACACAGACGUAAGAAGUCAGACCAAAUUUCUUAAUGUCUCUUAGGAAGAAAGCCAAUUUUAUAUGACAGUAAUAGAUUAAGCUCAAGUGUUUACUUUUCAAUCAAUUCAUACUGAUUCAGAAAACACAGCUAUUUAAUUGCAUGUUCAGUCUUCCUGGCCAUUACAGAAGGUAUUUGUUAUGCUAACUGUAUAGCAGCCUAAAGGCUACAUUUUCAAAGCAACAUACACAAAUCCCAUUAGGUGUAACUGGGACUGGUUGUUAAUAUGUAACCCUCCACGUGCCUGCUUUUGAGAGAGAUUUUACCUUAGAUGUGGAAGUCUGAAAUGUUACAUCUCUAUCUAAACAGCAACCUCUUCUAGAGCACCUAGUGAAAGAUUUAAGCCUGUGGUCCUUUCACGCACUGGUGCAGUCUAAGCACAUUGACUGUGUACUUUCUGCUGCACAACACAGUGACAAAAAAGCCACUUGUGAUUUGAGCAGAAUCCAGUUGAACUUGAAUGGACCUUUGAGGACCAUUUUGUUCUGUCUUUCUCUGGAGCAAAUGCCAAGAUUGUUGUGGUCUAGAAACUCGCUGUUCCAUUGUAAUAGGAUAUGCGUUUAAAUUAGAGCUCUGUAAAAUGAAGGAUACUUAUGUUUAGCAUAAUUUUCAGUAAUCUAGUGGAAAACCUGCAAACUCUGCCUGAAUGGCUGGGCCCGAAAGGGCUUAGUGGCUGGAUGAAGGCUGAGAAAGAACACCAUGUAUUUAAUGCAGAUAUUUUGUUUCUGAUACACCACUAGCAGUAAAACAUAGCAAAUAAAUCCUAUUAAUUUUCUUUCCAUUCUAACAUAUUUUUUCCACAUGUUUUUAGAAAGAUGUUGUUUCCAAAGUCUGGAUUUAAAGCUUAACAUUUCUUGGACAACCCCUGCCUCAGUGCUGUUUUGUUGUUGUUGCUGUUAUUGUUGUUAAUUGUUUUUGUUGGUUUGUUUGUUGUUGCUGUUUGUUAAUAUUUUAUCAUAUAUGUGAAAAGGUGGAUUUUCAGUUACAGUUUAUCUCUUCAAAUACUGCUUGGUUUAUCUUUGGAUUCAGAAUCUAACUCUGAAUUUGUCGAGAGACUUUUUCUACAUUUUUAUUCUUCACUAAAGUGCUUUUAUAAAAAAAAAAAAAGGAAAUUAAGUAAAUCUUUGUAAUGUAACUAAAGACAGACAUGCUCAGAAUACUUCACAGAUUUUUGUAAGCUAUUGAAACAAUUUGGUUUUUUCCCUUUUGUUUUGUUUUUUC